rnacentral:misc_RNA from 1 species
GAUGAAGAACGCAGCGAAAUGCGAUAAGUAAUGUGAAUUGCAGAAUUCAGUGAAUCAUCGAAUCUUUGAACGCAUCUUGCGCUCCUUGGUAUUCUGAGGAGCAUGCCUGUUUGAGUGUCAUUAAAUUCUCAACUACACUGACUUUGAAUUGGUGUGGCUUGGAUUUGGGGGGAAAAUUGUUGUGGGCUUUUUGUAUAGUCUGCUCCCCUGAAAUUGAUUAGCGGUACCUUUGUGGAACUGUCUACAGGUGUGAUAAUUAUCUACAUCUUAGACAUCUGCUGGAAUGCUGCUUUCUAAACCUCACUUGUAUUGACAAUCUUGACCUCAAAUCAGGUAGGACUACCCGCUGAACUUAAGCAUAUCAAUAAGCGGAGGA